rnacentral:rRNA from 1 species
AUUGAACGCUGGCGGCAGGCCUAACACAUGCAAGUCGAACGGUAACAGGAAGCAGCUUGCUGCUUUGCUGACGAGUGGCGGACGGGUGAGUAAUGUCUGGGAAACUGCCUGAUGGAGGGGGAUAACUACUGGAAACGGUAGCUAAUACCGCAUAACGUCGCAAGACCAAAGAGGGGGACCUUAGGGCCUCUUGCCAUCGGAUGUGCCCAGAUGGGAUUAGCUAGUAGGUGGGGUAACGGCUCACCUAGGCGACGAUCCCUAGCUGGUCUGAGAGGAUGACCAGCCACACUGGAACUGAGACACGGUCCAGACUCCUACGGGAGGCAGCAGUGGGGAAUAUUGCGCAAUGGGCGCAAGCCUGAUGCAGCCAUGCCGCGUGUAUGAAGAAGGCCUUCGGGUUGUAAAGUACUUUCAGCGGGGAGGAAGGGAGUAAGGUUAAUACCUUUGCUCAUUGACGUUACCCGCAGAAGAAGCACCGGCUAACUCCGUG